UGGGAACGUGCCCUUUGGUUCGGAAUAACUCAGGGAAACUUGAGCUAAUACCGGAUAAGUCCGUAAGGAGAAAGAUUUAUCGCCGAAGGAGCGGCCCGCGUCCGAUUAGCUAGUUGGUGGGGUAAUGGCCCACCAAGGCUACGAUCGGUAGCUGGUCUGAGAGGAUGACCAGCCACACUGGGACUGAGACACGGCCCAGACUCCUACGGGAGGCAG
rnacentral:rRNA from 1 species